GACGAACCACACAAACGUUAUUCGGAAUUACUGGGCUUAAAGGGUGCGUAGGCGGCGCGGAAAGUUGGGUGUGAAAUCCCUCGGCUCAACCGAGGAACUGCGCUCAAUACUACCGUGCUCGAGGGAGACAGAGGUGAGCUGAACUUAGGGUGGAGCGGUGAAAUGCGUUGAUAUCCUAAGGAACACCCGUGGCGAAAGCGGCUCACUGGGUCUCUUCUGACGCUGAGGCACGAAAGCUAGGGUAGCGAACGGG
rnacentral:rRNA from 1 species